AACGAACGCUGGCGGCAUGCCUAACACAUGCAAGUCGAACGAGACCUUCGGGUCUAGUGGCGCACGGGUGCGUAACGCGUGGGAACCUGCCCUUAGGUUCGGAAUAACUCCCCGAAAGGGGUGCUAAUACCGGAUAAUGUCUUCGGACCAAAGAUUUAUCGCCUUUGGAUGGGCCCGCGUUGGAUUAGCUAGUUGGUAGGGUAAAAGCCUACCAAGGCGACGAUCCAUAGCUGGUCUGAGAGGAUGAUCAGCCACACUGGGACUGAGACACGGCCCAGACUCCUACGGGAGGCAGCAGUGGGGAAUAUUGGACAAUGGGCGAAAGCCUGAUCCAGCAAGGCCGCGUGAGUGAUGAAGGCCUUAGGGUUGUAAAGCUCUUUUACCCGUGAUGAUAAUGACAGUACCGGGAGAAUAAGCUCCGGCUAACUCCGUG
rnacentral:rRNA from 1 species